GUUUUAUAUAUUAUUUUUUAAAUAAAAUUGCUCGCGCAUUAAGGCAAUUACAUUUUUUCCAUUGAAUACUGAUACACAAUUUGAGACUAAGUACCGGAACUGGUUAAAUAGCAAUGUCAAGCAUGUAGAGAACUGUCAGAUUCACCUGGUAAUAUUUAGAACUAAAUAAUAAUAUAUGCAUAAAAUAAUAAUCAUUUAGUGUUAUUUGUCUUCUGUACAAUUGUAGUUUUGUCAACGUCAAUAUAUAAAUGUUAUCUUUAUUAUGUUGAUAUUUAAAUGCCAUGUUUAGUGUGAUAUGUAAAAAAAUGAGUGUAUAUUUCACCUCCGGCAACUCCUACGCAAGAAAUUAUAAAUGAGUGUCUAAUCGUGAAGUUAUACUGCCCUUCUAAAAAGAAUUGGAUAAAUUUUUAUAAUGCCUUUAAUAUACAGGACAAGAGAGACCUACAGUGGAAAUUUCUUGUUGAUCGUACUAGACAAAGAAAAAUAAUUGGAAAAAACUCUGCAGCCAAAAAUUCCACAGAUGAACAAAAUAAAAUACUCAGUAGUAAAUGGAGUAGUACUGCAGGGUGGUUGCUAUAAUAUUAAUGAAGAGCCUGUUCUGUUAUUACAAUGCAAGUUAUCGUUACGUUAUAGUAUUAUUUUUUUUUUACUUUAGUUAAUCGUUAUGCAAACGAUGAAGCGUUAAUCGUUAUCGUUAUCGUUAUGCAAACGAUGAAGCGUUAAUCGUUAUGCAAACGAUUGAGAAUAGCAGCAACAACACUUGGUUAAAAAACCACUUCAACCACUUCAACCACUUCGUCAACCACUUCAACCACUUCAACCACUUCAACCACUUUGUCAACAACCACAUCCUCGACAACUGCUGCUGUAGUUAAUGAUUUGUCAUAUCAGGCUUUCUUAGCAUACCGGAGAGAAAACAAUGGACCCACAUCCCAUAGGGCUCAUGGGAUGUGGGUCCGAAACGGCGGCCGCUACUACCCCUAUCCCU